rnacentral:lncRNA from 1 species
GAAUCAUAGCAUCAUUAAGGUUGGAAAAGACCACUAAGAUCGCAUAGCCCAAUGGCAGCCCAUCCCCACCAUGCCCAUUAACCAUGUCCCUCAGUGCCACAUGCACACGGUUCUGGAACACCUUGUUUUAGAGUGGGUCAUAGUGUUUCCAGAAGGUGGCACCGGGGGGAAAUGAAUGGAGAAUAGGAAACCAGGGGAGGCAAAAAGGAAAGGAAACGGUUGCCAUCGGCGCGCGGUACUGCUGUGCACCUUCCACAUAGAGACUGCAGAAACCUCAUGAAGCUCCACGGUUGCUGGUGAGUGAUUGAAAGGCCAAUCUCUAGGAUUUGUGUGUGAACACCUGUAGUGUUUUCCUUCCCAAUGAAAUAACUCUCUGGCUGGUCUGGUUUGGAUUUGGGUGCCUUUGUAUCAUCCCUGCUUUCCCUGAGCCACCCUUACUUUCUUCCCCAGGUCUCCAGGGUUCAAUCUCUGCCCGUGUGCCCAGUGUUCGGACCAUCUCACUGAUCGGGAGCACACAGAUGUGAGAACGUAGCAAGGCAUUGCUUAUGAAGAAAAUUCUGAGACAUUGAUUUCGUCACUCGGGCUGCUUUUUGGCCAUUCUAGUGCUGCAACCUGACAAGCCAUAGCAUCAACACCGGGGAAGGAAGAACUGUAUCAUCCUGCCUAACUCCAGGCUGAAGCUGCUGUGUGAGAAGGAAUCCAGCUGCACAAACUUCAACAGAAGUCAUGCCACACCACGUUGCUGUGCAAGAAUGUUCUCAUCCCUAUUUUCUCUGGGAUAUUUGAAAUCAUGAGAUUUGUAUGCAUGUUAAGACAUGCCGCUGCAGUAUGUGAUUGCACAAACCAUGCUGUUGUGUAUUCAGAGUCACAUACGUCUGCCCGAAUGACUGAAAUGAAGUAUUUGCUGCUUUCUACCUCAUUUAAACCUGCGGGAGCUGGUAGUGCUCAUCCUCCUCACACACUGAGGUAUCCACAUGUGCCACUCGCCAGCCUGGGGCUUCUUCUCCAAGCAAUGGCUGAGUAAAUCUCUUAAUAACAGAGCAAGUCCUCACAGAUUAUUGUGAUCAUAAUUUGGCUGACAUAGCCUUUAUUACUAAUGGCAAGGCUGGAAAUGGAAAACCCAGCUUGAUGCUCAGCUCCCUGCUGGAAAGUAAUAAAAUAAAGAGGAACAAAAUCCGUGAGUGUAUU